UGGAUCCAGACUUUGAUUCUGGCUCAGGAUGAACGCUAGCUACAGGCUUAACACAUGCAAGUCGAGGGGAAACGACAUCGAAAGCUUGCUUUCGAUGGGCGUCGACCGGCGCACGGGUGAGUAACGCGUAUCCAACCUGCCCACCACUUGGGGAUAACCUUGCGAAAGUAAGACUAAUACCCAAUGAUAUCUCUAGAAGACAUCUGAAAGAGAUUAAAGAUUUAUCGGUGAUGGAUGGGGAUGCGUCUGAUUAGCUUGUUGGCGGGGUAACGGCCCACCAAGGCAACGAUCAGUAGGGGUUCUGAGAGGAAGGUCCCCCACAUUGGAACUGAGACACGGUCCAAACUCCUACGGGAGGCAGCAGUGAGGAAUAUUGGUCAAUGGACGGAAGUCUGAACCAGCCAAGUAGCGUGCAGGAAGACGGCCCUCCGGGUUGUAAACUGCUUUUGGUCGGGAAUAAAGUGCCCCACGUGUGGGGUAUUGCAUGUACCGUCAGAAAAAGGACCGGCUAAUUCCGUGCCAGCGGCCGCGGUAAUACGGAAGGUCCGGGCGUUAUCCGGAUUUAUUGGGUUUAAAGGGAGCGCAGGCGGACGUUUAAGUCAGUUGUGAAAUACGGCGGCUCAACCGUCGGGGUGCAGUUGAUACUGGACGUCUUGAGUGCACACAAGGAUGCCGGAAUUCAUGGUGUAGCGGUGAAAUGCUCAGAUAUCAUGAAGAACUCCGAUCGCGAAGGCAGGUGUCCGGGGUGCAACUGACGCUGAGGCUCGAAAGUGCGGGUAUCAAACAGGAUUAGAUACCCUGGUAGUCCGCACAGUAACGAUGAAUACUCGCGGUUGGCGAUAUAUAGUCAGCCGCCAAGCGAAAGCGUUAAGUAUUCCACCUGGGGAGUACGCCGGCAACGGUGCAACUCAAAUGAAUUGACGGA
rnacentral:rRNA from 1 species